AGAGUACUGGCCUGAGUCAUGCCUAUUAGUGCAAUAGAAUCCUACUCUAAUGCAUUCUGCUACAAAGAAUCUCUUACACAGUUAGUUUUGCAUAGUUUGUUUUGUUUCGGUAUGUUACUUUGGAAGUGGCUAAUAUUGCGUUGAUUCGAUCACAAUUCCCAGAGUAGAGUGAAAUGUUGAUAGUGUUAACUAAAGGGGAAAACACUAGAAAGCUGAGUCUCGUGCUUCUCUGAAUGGGUUUAUAUUUCUUCUGAGCUGCAGUCUGGGGAGCUGCUCGCCUGCACGGAGCUUAAAUAGAACAUUACUCGUCUCCUUCACUCCCCCCUGCUCUCAUCUCCUAUGCGGAGGAAAGUAGGUUAAAAUCUCAGGGCAUUAUUGGUUUGAACGGCCUAUGAGCUGGCGUCUGAAGACCUCAGCCCUGCUGUUGAAAUCCAGAUUGAGCACCGCCUCGCCCCUUGGCAGGCCAGUGACAUAUGGACUUGGACAUGAUGAACUGUGAGCUUUUGGCAACGUGCAGUGGCCUGGGGUAGCUGGAGGGACCACGAAGAACCCGACUGUCUAGAGGGUGUGAAGGACCUGAUCUGGUACCUGCAGCAUGAGGAUGACACGCGGGACACCAGUCAGCAGCUGGGGGCGGGCUAGAUCUUCCAGAAUGACCUGCUGCCCAUCAUCACCCAGCACAGCCAGGACAAGGCCCUGUUUGGCGCCUGCAUCAGGCUCAUGGUCAACCUUACCCAACCUGCUCUGCUAAAGUCCCAGAUGACCCGACUGUCAGACAUCACUUCCUGCAAGUGGUGUCCUAUUUACAGGUUUACAAGGAGACCUUUACCAAUGAGAAGGUGUUUGGAGUUCUGAGUUAAACCCUGUACAAUCUGCUGCAACUAGACUGGGAGCAGAGGCAGGAGGAGGACAACCUGCUGAUAGAGAGGAUUCUGCUGCUGGUCAGGAAUGUACUGCCUGUCCCCGCUGACCUCUACGAGGAGAAGAACGUGGACGAUGAUGCCAGUGUGCAUGACAAGCUGCUGUGGGCUGAAUGACCUGAUCAAGUUCCUGGCCUCUGCGCAGAGCGAACAGCAGUGAAGCACAGAGGCUUGAGCUCCUGGUGAGUGUGGGUCAGGCUCGUUCAGCUCAGGAGAAACAGAGAGACGCCCUCCAGAGAGGAACAAGACACUCUCGCUUUGGAGGCUCCUAUGUGGUUCAGGGACUCAAGUCAUUCGGGGGUAAAGACAUGAUCUACCACCGAGGCCUCCACAACAUGAGUUUCAAAUUCUGGAGACAUGCCCCAAAGUCUUAUUACCACGGAGCAUUUAAAGCAGAAAUAAACAAUACAGGUGGGUUUUUUUACUAGUUCAAGAACUACACCCACGAUGAAGGCAAGGCGGCGGUGAGACGUGUGCCCAACCGAAAGCUGCACACUAGGGACACGGGAGGGCAUAUGCCACUCAGCCCUAAACGUCUGCCUCUUCCUGCGCGAGUUCUGUGUGGACUUUCUGGAGAACUGCUACAACCGCCUCAUGUACCUGGUCAAGGAGCUGGAACCCUUUGCUAAGUUUGUGCUGAACCGAUUCCUUGCCCUGGUGGCCAAAAACAAGGCCUACGUAGAGCUGCUCUUCUAGAAGCGUGUGGGAGCUGUACGUGAGAUGACAGAAGGCUACAGCAAGCCUGGAGAAGGAGAGGGGUCCAAGAAGAAAGCAAAAUGGAGGCGCUGUGAACACUACAAGGAGCACCGUGACUCUGAAGUGCCACACAUUGUGGAGACUCUGCUGCCGCUGCUUAGCAACACCACCCAUCAGCGUCAGCAAGUGGUGGCUGGUGGAUGGUGUCAAAGACCUGAAGAAACUGAGGAAAGGCACUCAUAUUGUCCUGUGGACAGAGGAACAGGAGAAAGAGCUACAGAUGCUGUUUGAGGAGUUCAGAGACUCGGAUGAUGUGCAGGUAAACGGUCCCGCGCCUGCCUGGUGGAAAAGCUGCUCAGCAUGGGCCUAGUCCACGACCGAUGGGAACUCCACAAGAAGAAGAUGCCGCAACCCUAACGCUCCGGAGAAGAGCUCUAGGAUUGGAAUGGUAUGUCAGGACCCCUGUUGUGGCUACAGAACUGCCUGAACUGAACAGCAGAUGUCCGCGAGGAAGAAGGCUUGUCUCAGCCUAUACCACCUGUCCCUCUGACAGAGGAGAAUGAGGACGCAAUGGAGAAAAGGAGCUUCCAGAGGUUACUACGGAAAAUAGGGGUCCAAGCACAAAUAGGGGUUUGAGUACCAGCCGAUGAGCAGGUGGGAUUUAGGCGGCAACUCAGCUAUGUAAAAAAAAUAUAUAUAUAUAUAUUUUUGUCUUACCCACAUUAAAUUGCAGGACUAAGUCCCAAAAGUAUUUACUUAGUUAAAAGAUGGAAUCCGCAAUAGGGGAAACUGACACUGUCGGCACCAUGGCCAUGAUCGUUUUUUUGUUGUUGAGCGGAGGUGAGUGUCGCAAUGCGCACCUAGUACAUAUUCUGCUGUUCUAUUCCGUGUGUGUUCAUUGAUGUCUGAGAGAAAAAACAGCAUUGUUUGCAGUCACUUUGUUGUUGUAUUAUCACAAACGGAUGUGGCAGUUUCACAAUUAAGGAUUCCGACUUUAAGGCAAGAUACAGCUUAUAUGAGGCACUCAACUUUGAAAAUGUUGCAUUUAUAAAAGACAUUGAAGUGAUGUCUGUAUUUUUCAAAACUUUGGCAGGCUUUCCCAUAGACUACUGUAUAGGUAAUGUGUGUCUAAUGAUCAAUUAGGAGUCGUUCUGGAGGAUCCCAGCCAAGAUGAACCCUUCCCAGUUAAGGGGAUCCCCAACGGCAGGGGGAGAGAGGACGGAGCGGCCAUCCCCAAGGAGCCCCUUCCAGGAGCAGACGCAGGUGGAGGCAGACUCCCAUGAGCAGAGAGCCCAGGCCCUCUGAGGCCUGCUGCUGGCCCACAAGAGACAAUUGUGUUCUGCUGAGGCAGAUGGCUAAGAUUUCACACCUGUUGAGGAUAUAGAUUCAGACACUGCACCUCAGAGAUCUUCAGAGAAUAAGACGACCUCCGGCAAGAGAAGCAGAGUGCUGUUGUUGGACAGCGACGAGGAUGGAGAUACUGUGCUUUAACCUAAUCAUAAUCUAGUCCUGUUAGUUUUACCCACAAACUCAUUUGCCUUUGGCAAGAAUGACAAUGACUGGCGUUUGUUAAAGAAGAAACAGACUGGCUUCCUGGCUACAAAAUGAUUAGUACGACAUGUUUUGCUAACAUUGCUGUCUCCUCUCCUGACAGUGGACUCCCUCACUCUGGAACUCGGGGCUGACAGGGAUGCAGUGACUCAGUCACUCCGCAACUGCCAAGGGCAGACGACAGAGGGUCUUGAUUGACGAUGAGCAAGAUGAUGAUUAGAGAAGUCUUCAGUUUGAUAAUUUGAAUUAUAUACAGCUUUUCCACUUAGGUGCUCAGUGUUUUACAUAGAAAGGGGGAAACUCACCUCAUCCUCCACCAAUCUGAGGAAUCCAGUUGGAGCCAAUAUGAUUGAAGCAUCUUCUUACACAAUGCCUCUACAGGGCUGUAUGGGGACUGAGGAUGGGGAAACCUGGACCUUCACAUACCAAAUAUUUCUGAGAAGGCAGUAAACAAGUCUUAGAGAAAAUCCAGAGAGCGAGAUAGCUCCAGUUUUAUUGGAAACAUGAUGCAUUUGAUGGGCUUGUCAUUAUAUUCUUCAGUCUUUCUCUUCAGUAUUCAGUGUUCUGUAUGUCUUUCAAA